UGAGGGAGAAAGAGAGAGAGAGAGAGAGAGAUGCAUGAAUACACAUAUCGUUUGCAGGAAUCUUCUAGCUUGGAUGCAAGGAUGGAGAAGUGAACAAAGGGAAUGAGUACAGAAGUUAUCCAGCAUGCUGACUAAGACAUUUAAAUAGCCUAUGUUUUGCUAUCUAUCUCUUUCUCUAUCUCUCUCCGUCUAUCUGCCUGACUGCCAGAUUGCUGAGGGUCAACAUAGUCAAUGUACUUGCUAGGCUAAGUCUAACUUAGUGAAGACCUUAGGUAAUGGUUAAUCGGGAUUCUUCUGUCUUUACAGUUCCUGAAACAUGUCAAUGACCUGAUGCAUGGCUUCUACAGCAGUGCUUGGCCACCCACUCAGUUACCAGUGACCUAUUCUGCCACAUCUCAGGGAAAGGAGACAGCAGAACCACCCCGCCCUAAAUCCAUAGUCAUUGAAAAUAAGAUGUGUGCAAAAUUAUAUAUAUAUUUUUUCUGUUUGAUACUCUGAUCUUCAAUAAACCACAUCAUCACUCUG